CUCAAACAUUCAGUAAAACGUGUGAUCACGAAAUCAAUAAAUCCUUAACAUUGGCAUGCUUACAUGCAAUAAUAGAUACAAAAGAGGUAACUUGUUUUCAACAAAGCAUAUAGCGAAUACAGAAUUAGUAGCAUGUCCUCAUGCAUUCAACAAACAAGUGAUAAGUACACUAUAACAUACAUUAGUAGUGUAUGCAUUUCCAGUCAUAACAGAUAAACCAAUAGGCAUAAUCAAUCAAUCUUACGUAAACACGAAUACAUUCGGCUAGCCUAAAUAGAGAUCACAUUUCAAAAUCAGCCACCUUGCAAAACAGAUGCAUACCUAUUCGGUCAACUUCCCAAUCACGCACAACACACUCGGCCACUAAUAGGGCACCCGACAUGCAUUCGGUUAUUACAGUCUCAUUCACACAAUCAGUCCAAAGCAGAUAAAACAAUCGAAAAUGCAUCAUUAAAAAGCACAAAUUUUCAAUAUACAAAACACAUCCCAUGGCAGCAUUCGACCAUGACUCAAAAGCAUAUCACACACGUACACAACGUACACAAUUCACAUUUGAUUAAAUCCCACACCUUAAAUCCACAGAUCCGAGACACUAAUCCAAAAAAGUCUGCACUUCCCCACUCUAGAUCUAGAUAACCCUAGAUUGGAUAUGCAUUUAAUACGAUUAAACACAAUCAAAAUUAGCCUUAGAACACCCCUACAGGUUUCGGCCAAACCAUGAUUCACAAGUGACAUUUCAGGUCCAAAUUUGGUAAGCAAACUUUCAUUGUUUUUAUUCAAAACGAGAGUGCGAACUAACUUUCUCGUCACUACUGAUUGAGGAAAUUUAGAUUCGGUCUUUCGACAUAAAAAAAAUUAAAAAUCAGUAACCAAAAUAAUUGGUUAUGGCCUUUGAGACAUUUAGCCAAAGCAGAGAAAUAUCAAAGGAUUAUACGAUAUUAGAUCUUGACAGAAAUCAGCACUUAUGCUUCGCUAUUUCUAGCUCCGAGAUGACGAAUUUACCAAGUACAGAUGCAAACUUAAACGACAAGGUUAGGGGCUAUUUUAACAAGGAAAAAUUGAGUAAAAAUGCAGCAAUGAAGUGUGACAAAUGGGAAGAAAAACAACAGCCUCUAUUGGUGUUUUCAAGGAGCGACAACACUACAAAAAUGACAACAAUAGGGGGUUGAUUUGUGCGGCAAUGGAAGGCAAUAAAACAAGCAACAAUGGUACUGAAAAAUGGAAGCAAUAGGGGAUGAAAUCAAAAGAAAACAAUAAGAAAAAGAUGAAAGAAAAUCGGAGAAGGAGCAGAGGUGUUGCGACGACCAUGAAAAGAGGAGGAAGGGAGG
rnacentral:lncRNA from 1 species